rnacentral:lncRNA from 1 species
CCGUUGUCUGAGAACCUGCUGGCCCUUGUACCACUCAUUUAAAUUCAUACUCAACUAGGAUUCUCCAGCGCUUUACAUGUCUCCUGGAGAAUGCAUAGAAAGUAAGUGCUCUCUGGAAGCCUGUAACAGUCCUCAUCAAAGGCUGAUUCCCUCUGUCCAAGGAAAAGGAAGGGAAAGCCAUGUCGAUUGGAAAUGUGAUAUUAUUCAGCCUGCUUUCAUGACCUCAGGAACUGCAGCAAGCUCGUUUCAGGAUCCUGCUGUCCCCAGCUGGUGUUUGCUCAGUGGCGUCUACUCUCCCACGAAUCUCCUUUCCAACUUCAGGCUUUAUGGCUCAGCUAAAGAAAAAUGUCACCACUCUGGGAAAACAGCAGGAUGACUGAUAUUUCUGGAGUGAGCAAGACACUGGAGCAUGACAGGGACAGUGUUUGGUGCAUCGGAAGACUCGCUUGAAGGGAUUUUUUUUUUUUCUGUGACUCUUUCUUGUCUCCCAAAUGUGCUGUGUCUAAAUUUCAUAUUUAACUCUCCGGGCGAGACAGAGAAACCUUCAAGACGCUCAUGCAUCCCUCCCACUGAGGGAAAGACAAUUCUUGGCAGCUCUUACAAAAAAAGGAGAUCAAGAGUCACUAAUGGGAAAAAAAAACAUGUGGAAAAAUCCUGAAAUGAAGGAUUGAUGAUGAGGCCUCACAGGCAACUCCCCUUAAAAGAGAAUUUUUAAGUCUCCAAACAAAUGAUAAUAUGACAACACAGACUAAUUGCUGCUUUCUUUUUAAAAAUUACAAAACUAUCCUAUACUUAUGGGAGAUAUUUUGUAAGAUUUGAAACUGCUGUAGCUGGGCAUUGUGGCACAUGCCUGUAGUCCCAGCUACUCGGGAGGUUGAGGCAGGAGAAUCAUUUGAACCCAGGAGGCAGAGGUUGUAGUGAGCUGAGAUUGCGUCACUGUACUCCAGCCUGAAUGACAG